rnacentral:tRNA from 1 species
GCGACGGUAGCUCAGCUGGAUAGAGCAAUCCCCUCCUAAGGGAUAGGUCAUGGGUUCAACUCCCUUCCGUUGCGCCA